rnacentral:tRNA from 1 species
GGUUGUGGCUCAGCCGUAGAGCGCUUGCCUAACACAUACGAGGCACUGGGUUCGAUUCUCAGCACCA